UACAGAGGGUGCAAGCGUUGUUCGGAAUUAUUGGGCGUAAAGCGCGUGUAGGCGGCUUUGCAAGUCGGGUGUGAAAGCCCUCAGCUCAACUGAGGAAGUGCGCCCCGAAACUGCAGAGCUUGAGUGCCGGAGAGGGUGGCGGAAUUCCCCAAGUAGAGGUGAAAUUCGUAGAUAUGGGGAGGAACACCGGUGGCGAAGGCGGCCACCUGGACCGGUAUUGACGCUGAGGCGCGAAAGCCAGGGGAGCAAACGGG
rnacentral:rRNA from 1 species